rnacentral:misc_RNA from 1 species
GUGAAUCAUCGAAUCUUUGAACGCAUAUUGCACUCUCUGGUAUUCCGGAGAGUAUGCCUUUUUGAGGGUAAGUAAGAAGAAUCUUUAACCAAUUUUUUUGGUCAAAGGAUAUGAGUUGUCCGCGUUUAUAGCGGUAGCUUUAAAUAAAAGGUCAAGUCUCAUUUUAGUCGAGACGCGUAAUAAUAUUAUUUCGCGAAAUCUGCAUUAUGUGACUAUCAAGUUUUUAUUCAUACAAAGUUUGUUUGUAUUCGAUAAAUACAAAUAGUUUGA